CCUACGGGAGGCAGCAGUGAGGAAUAUUGGUCAAUGGACGAGAGUCUGAACCAGCCAAGUAGCGUGAAGGAUGACUGCCCUAUGGGUUGUAAACUUCUUUUAUAUGGGAAUAAAAUGUUUCACGUGUGGGAUUUUGUAUGUACCAUAUGAAUAAGGAUCGGCUAACUCCGUGCCAGCAGCCGCGGUAAUACGGAGGAUCCGAGCGUUAUCCGGAUUUAUUGGGUUUAAAGGGAGCGUAGGUGGAUUGUUAAGUCUGUUGUGAAAGUUUGCGGCUCAACCGUAAAAUUGCAGUUGAAACUGGCAGUCUUGAGUACAGUAGAGGUGGGCGGAAUUCGUGGUGUAGCGGUGAAAUGCUUAGAUAUCACGAAGAACUCCGAUUGCGAAGGCAGUUCACUGGACUGCAACUGACACUGAGGCUCGAAAGUGUGGGUAUCAAACAGGAUUAGAUACCCGUGUAGUC
rnacentral:rRNA from 1 species